rnacentral:lncRNA from 1 species
GGAAUUGGUCAAGUCCGGAGAGAGGGCGGGGCCUUGGCGCGCGCGGGAGCCGGGAGUGGGGUCCCCCGGGCUUUCUCUCUUAGCCCCGCCUCCUUCCCGGCUCCAGCUGGGGCCGGCGAGCCUGAGUGGUGGCUACGCUGCUCGCUGGCCUCUCACUCUUCCCAGCAACCGGUGACACUGCCCGCGCGAGACUGACCACUAGCCGGCGCGGGCGAGAGGGACAGGAGCGUGACCUCCCCAUCCCGAGGGGCCGGACGCUCGGGCGCCUUCCCGCUCCCCCAACUCGGAGGCCGCGCGCGCCGUUACCCCCUUCCUCGCUCCCCCGCCCCAGUCCCGCAAUCCGGGAGGCGGGGGUCGGCAGCCGGCUGAGUGGGAACCGCGCGGUGUCUGAGGAGCCAGUCGGCGACCGGUUUCUACUUCAAGCGUGAUCCCCUUGCUUGUGGGAUGAGCUCCAGCAUGGGGUGAGGUACAGAAGAGAGACUCGAAGAGCCUGCCUUGGGACUUAAGCGCCAAACCUGCACCCUAGCAAGUGUCUUACUCCACAUCCGUAAUGGAAGGAAAUGCACAUCCUACUCCAGAGGCACAAGAGGAGGACAUCCCAUGCUGGCUACUCCUGCCCAGCGUGGUGGGGGAGCAGAAGCUCCAGAGCCCAGACUUGCAGGCUCACGGUGCAGGGUGAACCUGGCCACAGCUCACCUCUGGAACAGCCGCAGUGUCUGCCCUUAGAGAAGAACCCUGAAAUCAGACCAGUUUUUGCGGCCUCCCCCUUUCCUCUCUGUUACAGUGCCCUUUCCAGGCCUUAAGAGAAGUAAAACUUAGCCACAGCGUCAGGAGGUGGACGUGGACCCCCGAAUGUGAGUGGCACGGUUC